GGAAGGCUGAACAGCGAAAUUUCCCAGCAGCCAAGGCAGAAGUGUGUGGCAGACGUACGCGACCGCUUUGCUAACGCUGUUUGUGGCGCGGAUAGUGGCGGAUAUUUAGUUGAAGAAGAACAGAUAAAGUGGAAAAUUUAACACAAAAGCAUUGAAGAGGAAAAUUUUAGCUUUUAAGACUUAACUUUAAUGUGAGAAUGUUGCGCCAAUAAAAGUUGAAAAUAUCUCAAAUGCGCGAAUAAUCAAAAGUAAGAGCUAUGGAAACAAAUGUGAGCAGACAUUGUUAAGCGCAAAGGUACAUAACUGAAAAUUAAUUCGGAGUCAUGAAAAUUUCAAAUGUGCCAAUGCAGUGAAAUUUGUAGUGAAAAAUUGACAGAAUUGUUGGUCGUUCGCUGUUGUAACGCAGAGUGGGUGUGAUAAGCGUGUGCAGGAACAACAAAGCAGUGAACGAUUGCAACAAAAGCGAAGCACUUUAUUUCACAAAAAAGUAGUGCUUACCACGAGAUGAAAGUAAGAUUCGAGUAGUGUGCAACACGUACCAAUCAAAAAUUGAGCGCGCGUCUCCCACAAGACACCGUAGCAAACGUAGCGAGCGUGCCAAGAACCAACGCGAAUGUGCAUAAAAUUGCAUGAAAAACAACAGAGCAACAACAAUAGCAUAACAGCUGUUGUGAAAGUGACAACAAAGUGACAAAGUGCAGUGUAUGUAGUGGAAAAAACUCGGCGAGGGUUUAAGAAAACAGAAGAAAAAAUCGCGAGUGUUGCUCGCAGUAAAGUGCAACUAAUUGCUAUUUGUGUUAGUGUAAGCGCCUGUGUGCAUGCCUGCCUGUCACAUUUUGUGUGCGUUGAACUGUUGCAAGUGCAUUAUCUUUCUUUACGACUGUCCGCGUGUCUCACA